GGACUACAGGGGUAUCUAAUCCUGUUUGCUCCCCUAGCUUUCGCAGCUCAGCGUCAGUGAUGGCCCAGAUACCUGCUUUCGCCAUAGGUAUUCCUCCUGAUAUCUACGCAUUUCACCGCUACACCAGGAAUUCCAGUAUCCCCUACCACACUCUAGCCCGGUAGUUUCCCUUGACCUCUCCCAGUUAAGCCGGGAGCUUUCACAAAAGACUUACCGAACCGCCUACCUGCGCUUUACGCCUAGUGAUUCCGAGUAUCGCUUGCCACCUACGUAUUACCGCGGCUGCUGGCAC
rnacentral:rRNA from 1 species